rnacentral:rRNA from 1 species
UUGAACGCUGGCGGCAUGCCUUACACAUGCAAGUCGAACGGCAGCACGGGAGCAAUCCUGGUGGCGAGUGGCGAACGGGUGAGUAAUAUAUCGGAACGUGCCCAGUCGUGGGGGAUAACGCAGCGAAAGCUGUGCUAAUACCGCAUACGAUCUCUGGAUGAAAGCGGGGGACCGUAAGGCCUCGCGCGAUUGGAGCGGCCGAUAUCAGAUUAGCUAGUUGGUGGGGUAAAAGCCCACCAAGGCGACGAUCUGUAGCUGGUCUGAGAGGAUGACAAGCCACACUGGAACUGAGACACGGUCCAGACUCCUACGGGAGGCAGCAGUGGGGAAUUUUGGACAAUGGGCGCAAGCCUGAUCCAGCAAUGCCGCGUGCAGGAUGAAGGCCUUCGGGUUGUAAACUGCUUUUGUACGGAACGAAACGGCUCACUCUAAUACGGUGGGCUAAUGACGGUACCGUAAGAAUAAGCACCGGCUAACUACGU